rnacentral:rRNA from 1 species
AGAGUUUGAUCAUGGCUCAGAUUGAACGCUGGCGGCAUGCCUUACACAUGCAAGUCGAACGGUAACGGGCCUUCGGGUGCCGACGAGUGGCGAACGGGUGAGUAAUGCAUCGGAACGUACCCUUCAGUGGGGAUAACGUAGCGAAAGUUACGCUAAUACCGCAUAUUCUGUGAGCAGGAAAGCAGGGGAUCGCAAGACCUUGCGCUGAUUGAGCGGCCGAUGUCAGAUUAGCUAGUUGGUGAGGUAAAGGCCCACCAAGGCGACGAUCUGUAGCGGGUCUGAGAGGAUGAUCCGCCACACUGGAACUGAGACACGGUCCAGACUCCUACGGGAGGCAGCAGUGGGGAAUUUUGGACAAUGGGGCAACCCUGAUCCAGCCAUGCCGCGUGAGUGAAGAAGGCCUUCGGGUUGUAAAGCUCUUUCGGCCGGGAAGAAAUCGCAUGGGUUAAUACCCUGUGCGGAUGACGGUACCGGCAUAAGAAGCACCGGCUAACUACGUG